UCAGCUCUCCCAGUGUGUCACUGCUCUCACCGCGCGCCCGUCAGCACCAUUCCCACCAGGCCCGUGCCAGCCCUCUGUGACCGCAGCUCGUCCAGAGUAAAUGCAGCUGGGCUGUGUGCGGGAUCCGCAGGGCAGCCAGCUCACCCCGCGAGUCCUCCGAGUUCCCUCCUCUCUGAGGCUCCCGCUGGAGUUUGCGAGUCAGUCCUAGGCCUCCGUGAUUUGGAGAUGCUGCUGUCUGUGCCUGAGGUGGCUCCGGGACGGCAGGAAGUUCUCAGCAAGCCCUUGGCAGCUGCUCGGCUCUCUGAGGAUCUUUAUGGCUGGUGCUUCCUGGACUGAGUUUACGUGUGCGCAAUGCCUGUUGGCAUUCCUGCCACUGUUACACAGGUUCAUGCCUGCCCCCUCCGUGCAGCCUUUCUGCCUGGCUCACCUGCCCAGGGUGAGGACCCCUAGGCUGCUGCUCUCCAGCUGGAGUCUGAGGACCCGCGCAAACAGAAGCACUCUGUGGGGUGAGUUCUCCCAAGGAAGCAGCGCAGCCAGGACAUUCUUCAGGGAGGUGUGCAGCUCACAGCCCACACCCAGUGCUCUGUUUCCAAACACCACUCCAAGUGGCUACUCACAAGUGGAAGCAGCUGAACGGGCAUCUGAGGGGACUGUCCAGGACGGCCUCAGGAGCAACAGCUGAGUCAGAAGACCACCAGCACGCCCAGAGGAAGAGGAACACAGCCUGUCUGCUCCGCAGCAACCCUGGCCUGCAGACUCAGCGCUCAGAAGGCAACUGAUGAUCUUUUGAUUACCGCCAUUGGAGUCCAUUUUGAUAAUCUUCAAAAGAAUCUUUGCUGUUUUCCUGGUCAACUCCAGGCUUUCAGAACUGCUAACAUGGGGUGUGCCCUGCUUACCGCGCUCCCUGACACCCCGGUCCUCCUGCCAUACCUGCCAUGCUGUGGUGCACCCUGUGGGAGGCUUUUCUCCUGACGUUAUCCGGUCCUACUCUCUAUGAAGGCUGUGAACUGCCUUCUGCACUCAUUCUUUUGGGUGAUUCAUUUAUUUCCUUCUGAGAAAUUCUGCAUUCAUUUGGCAUCAGCAAAAUAGCAGACACUUUGCAGCCAGCCACAUGAUGGAUAGUUCUGCAGCUAAUGACAUGUCUUCCUGAAGCGGGAGACAUAUUACGUUGUUGGGAGGCACGGUCUCCAGGGAAAUUGCCACUCUGCGGAGGGCAGUUAAUAAAUACGAGCACAGCGCUGCUUCUGCCAUGAAGUUAACACCCCUUUCAGCCACCUGCUGAUGAAUUCCCAUUGGGUGGACACCCCGGGAAGCACUGGAAAGGGAACUUUGCUUCAAUUGUUCCAGGAAGCCUGAUAAGAUUGCCAUUUCCUAUUGCACUGUCAUGACGAACUUACAGGGAUAGCAUCCCGGAUGCAGGUGUCCAGGUCAAAGGAAAUAAAAGGGAAGUUCAAAAGCACUCCGCCCACGGUUGCUGAUCUUCUAUCUUUAUUACCAUGUCACAGGAAGUUUCUGUAUGAGUAUGCUGGGAAUUAGGCAAAACCAAAAUUGCAUGUCAGGCAAAUGAAAGAGGCUAUAAAAAGAAAGGGAAAAAAAGUCCCUCCCAAAAGAACAGAAAGCACUUACUUUCUUUUUUCUUUUUUU